rnacentral:snoRNA from 1 species
AUACCUGAUGACCAAGUUGUCGCCCCAAGCGGAUCUUAAUUCAAACAUUUGAAAUGACCGACUAAUGACACUUAUAAGCCAAACACUGAAAAUUCUGAUA